ensembl:lncRNA MIR924HG MIR924 host gene
CACAUGCAGACCAUAUUGAAAUACGCAGAGAAUUCCAUGGAGACUCUGAUGGCUAGGGCACCGUUGAGCUGUUGCAACUGUUCUGCUGAUUUCUAUCAUGGAAAAUAUCCCUGCAAGCAGUAACCACUAUUUGAAUGGUGAAAUCAGCAGCACAGCAAACAUGGUUCUUAAUGAGGAGCCUUAUGUAUGUGGUUGAAACCACCUGUACUACUGGAAUGAAAGCACCUUUACAGAAGAGGCAAUGCAAGUUGUAUUCAUCACAUGUGUAGAAUGAAUUAAGAUUUAUGCCAGUUGCAAAGAAGAAUAUUGGCUCACUAUUUUUCCUCUGGGCAUGAAGAAACUUUAUCUCAGACUACCCUUGAUGUAUCAAAAUAUUUAAAGCAAUUGGCAAAGGCAGUGAGCAAUUCACUCUCAGGCACAUGAAUAUCACCGGGAGAGGGCUGAAUGUUCAGAAAGAGACCUCAAGUAAACCUCCAGCAGCCAUCUGGACUUCCAUGAAAACAGAACAAUCAGUGAGAUGCAGAGCUUGGAGGAGACAGUUUCCAUAGACUGAAGCACGUGCUGAAGCAAAGUUCACACUUGCAGGAUUAGAAGAGGUUGACCGAAAGAAGGAAGGACAUGGACAGCUAUGUUGUUGUGGAGUCCUGUUUUAUAGUCAUAACCUUGAGUCAAGUGAGUUUGUCUGGACAGACAGAGCUUGUUGCCUUUACUUAUAGGGAAGGCACCGGACACAGACAGCCUCAAGGACAUUUGUUCUAGCCUUUCAGUAUCCUUUCUCUUAAUUAUCUCACCUCAUCCAUGAAGCUGGUAUGUACGAUUUUUCCUUUCUUUCUCAAUCCUUUAAAAAAUUAAAGCUCUAAAUCUCAUUUCCACUUAGAUUUUAAUGUUGCAUUGUAACUUAAGAUAAAACCUUGCUCUGAUGUUAAAAAUACUAAAGUAAGAAGCAAUAUGGCAUAGUGCUUAUGAGCAGGACUACAUAGUUCUUUCUGAAUACAAAUCUCAGAUAAAACACUAUCUCAGUGAUCAACCAGGUUAAGCAACCUUUUUAGUGCCUCAAUUAUUCCAUUUGUAAAAUUGUAAUAAUGAUAGUACUAACCUAUAAGAUUGUGGUGAGGAUUAAGUCAGAUAAUACAAAAGAAGCAUUUAGAGUAUUUCCUGGCAUUAUCUACCAUUUAUUGAAUUUUUAUGGUUAAGAAGAAUAAGGAAAAGCAGAAGAAAAGGAAAAGAGAAAAAAUACAUAAGAAGAAGGAAGAGUGGUAAGCUCUAGUAAAUUACAACAAACGGUAACGUAGAAAACAUUUGUUAGCCCUUAAUAUAGGCCAGGCACUGUGUUCAAUGCUUAAACCUCAUUACUGUUCUUUGAAGUGGAUAACAUUAUUCCUUCCAUUUUAAAGAAAGGAAUACUAAAGACAACUUUGUCAAUAUUAUUCAUGUAAUAAAUGACAGAAUUUGACCAAGACAAUAGAGAAUGAACUCUUAAUCACUAUAUUGUUUUAUUUUUUGAAAAUAGAUUUUAAGUUCUUAUUAAAUGUUAAUGACUCACAUCAAAAUAAAGCCAAUCAAAAUUGACAGCAA